rnacentral:rRNA from 1 species
CCUACGGGAGGCUGCAGUGGGGAAUAUUGCACAAUGGGGGAAACCCUGACGCAGCGACGCCGCGUGAGUGAAGAAGUAUUUCGGUAUGUAAAGCUCUAUCAGCAGGGAAGAAAAUAACGGUAUCUGAUUAAGAAACCCCGGCUAACUACGUGCCAGAAGCCGCGGUAAUACGUAGGGGGCACGCGUUAUCCGGAUUUACUGGGUGUAAAGGGAGCGUAGACGGCAGCACAAGUCUGGAGUGAAAUGCCGGGGCUUAACCCCGGAACUGCAUUGGAAACUGUGCAGCUUGAGUGCAGGAGAGGUAAGUGGAAUUCCUAGUGUAGCGGUGAAAUGCGUAGAUAUUAGGAGGAACACCAGUGGCGAAGGCGGCUUACUGGACUGUAACUGACGUUGAGGCGCGAAAGCGUGGGGAGCAAACAGGAUUAGAUACCCGAGUAGUC